rnacentral:rRNA from 1 species
AACGUAGGUGGCAAGCGUUAUCCGGAUUUACUGGGCGUAAAGCGUGUGCAGGCGGGAGAACAAGUGGGGGAUGAAAUGGCUCGGCUCAACCGGGCGAGGUUAUGCCAGACUGUUCUUCUAGAGUGCGAGAGAGGGGCAUGGAAUUCCGGGUGUAGUGGUGAAAUGCGUAGAGAUCCGGAGGAACCCCAGAGGCGAAGGCGGUGCCCUGGCUCGCAACUGACGCUCAGACACGACAGCAUGGGGAGCGAACGGG